ACUGCCUCCCUCAGGGCUUCUCUGGCUGUCCUCACAUAUGGCUCCUCUCACCCUUCUCGCUCAGGGCUCUUCUCACUCUCCUACCUCAGGGCUUCUCUCGUCCUCCUCACUCAAAGCUCCUCACACCCUCGUCACUCAGGACAACCGAAGCCCUCCCUCCUCGGAGCUUCUCUCACCCUCCUCCCUCUGAGCUCCGCACAACGCCCUCCGAGAUCCUCUCGACCUCCUCACUCAGGUUUCCUCUCACCCCCUUCCCUCAGACCGCCCCACAACCUCCUAGCUCAGGGCUCCCUCCAAGAAUUUGAAGGAUUUUAAAUAGGACUCUGACUCCCAGCCAGAGGAACUCAAAAAGUCUCUGCUUUCAGCAGCAUGUUCUACUGCCAGCUUCUGUCUCCACAUCUCCUAAAUCAAGAUAGAGAAACAGGACUGGAACCCAAAUUCUAGGAUUCAAGAGCCUGCACUCUCCGCUGUACAAAACUUAUUGAUUGAUGCCACUGAAGCAAACCUGAUACCCAGGAGCUCCUAAGCUAACUGAUUGACUUCUUUUUGCCGUAAGAAAAAUGGCAGCUUGAGUGAUGUUUGUCUCCAGCACCUCCUUACUUUAUGUGACUCCCAUCAUUGCGCAUCUCAACACCUUAUUUCAGUUUCCUGAGUGCUUGAGAUCCCUCCACUUCUUCCAUCCUCCGUGACAUCUACAUGCCAAGCUCCAUGUUGGACUUUGUGGCUACAAAGAGGGAAAUGACACCAGCCCUCCCCUCGGAGCUCCUGAUCUGGGAAGAGUCUACUUUUUCUGUGUUUUUCUCUAUUGGAAAAGUUUUCCAGCUGCUAGACCUACAGGCUUCAAACAACCCCCAGCCCAUCAACUGCAGAGCCACAAUUUGUGUAUGAAGCCCACUAAGGGGAGGCCCCCCUACUUCUGUCUCCCGAUGUCCCCAGUAAAGAAACACUCAUUCAAUCCACUUUUUGUUAAUACAAGUCCCUUCCCCUGGGAAGGAAAUACAAGUUUUCAGGAUAAUCUGGCACAUCUCAGGAGCCUAUGGAUAUUUGUCCAGACUGCAUCCAUGGCACAGGGCUCAAGGUGUAUACAUGUGCUGUGUGUCCUGGAGAAGAUGAGGCUGCUUCCGGCUCUGCUCCGUCUGUGUGAUGCAGGGAGCAUGGGGCUAAGAGCCUGGGCUCUGCAGCUGGCUUGCCGGGGUCCAUGGUCCAGGGUCAGCCACACGUUCGUGCCGUGAUGUUAACAUUUCACUUAUCUCUUUGUGCCUUGGUUUCCUUCUCUGUGAAAUGGCAAUGAUGAUAGAACUUGUCUCAUAGGAUUAUUGUAAAUUAAGGUACAAAUGCUGAGACUUCCCAGGUGGUCCAGCAGUGAAGAUUCUGCCCUUCCAAUGUAGGGGGUGCAAAUUCUACCUCUGGCUGGGUAGCUAAGAUCCCAUGUGUCCCAUGGCCAAAAAAUAAAAGCCCAAA